rnacentral:ncRNA from 1 species
CCAAGUCCCGACGCACAUCCCCCGGUGCCGGGACUGUCCAGAGCCGGGCUUCGGCGCCUCUCCCCCCAGGCGCCGGGCCCGGCUCCUUU